AUCAAAUGCUGUUUUUUCUAUAUAUUUAGUUCAGCUGAAAAUACACGUGGCAGAAUCCUCGGACAAGAUCACACUAUCACGUGUUGAUGGUUUCACUUUCAGCCCUAAUAAUGAAACUACUCAUAUAUUGGAUUACAAGGAUGAGAACACAGGGGAGUUUGUAUGCAAGAAAGACGGAAGGGAAGAUCGCAAAAUCUAUGUGAAAGGUCGGAGUAAGUACAGUACUGCCACUUCCCUCAAUGUACAAUGAUAUGGCACAAGAAUUUAAGAAGUCAAUAUUUGUUUGUGUGUAUGCCAUUAUAAUACACGUCAUUAUAAUGUACGUGUGUACACGGAUUGUGCGUGCGACUGCUUGCGUGCAUUGUGUGUAUGUAUGGCGUGUUUGUGUGUGUGUCCAGCCUGUGAUAAAUGCAUUAAGCUGGAUACAGCUACGGCUGUAGGGAUGGUUGUGGGAGUCCUGGUGGCCACUGCCUGAUUGGAGUAGCUGUUUACUGCAUCGCCUCACAGCCCAAAGCAACACUAACCGCCGGCAAGAAAAACAGAUCUGAAUACAGCACUCUGCCGGAAAGGAGAUGAAGAGAAUAAUAAUAUGUGCUCAGUGCUACAUUACUUUCACCACCCCUCAGAAUAAUAGUUGUAAAGCAUUGAGAAAUCAGGUCCACAAUGUCCAUGACAAGUCUCUCAACUGUCAAUUUGAUGUACAGAACCAUUGACUGUACAAGUUAAUGCCAUUUGGAUGUUCGAUGUACAGUGGGGCAAAAAAGUAUUUAGUCAGCCACCAAUUGUGCAAGUUCUCCCACUUAAAAAGAUGAGAGUGGCCUGUAAUUUUCAUCAUAGGUACACUUCAACUAUGACAGACAAAAUGAGAAAGAAAAUCACAUUGUAGGAUUUUUUAAUGAAUUUUUUUGCAAAUUAUGGUGGAAAAUAAGUAUUUGGUCAAUAACAAAAGUUUAUCUCAAUACUUUGUUAUAUACCCUUUGUUGGCAAUGACAGAGGUCAAACAUUUUCUGUAAGUCUUCACAAGGUUUUCACACACUGUUGCUGGUAUUUUGGCCCAUUCCUCCAUGCAGAUCUCCUCUAGAGCAGUGAUGUUUUGGGGCUGUUGCUGGGCAACACAGACUUUCAACUCCCUCCAAAGAUUUUCUAUGGGGUUGAGAUCUGGAGACUGGCUAGGCCACUCCAGGACCUUGAAAUGCUUCUUACGAAGCCACUCCUUCGUUGCCCGGGCGGUGUGUUUGGGAUCAUUGUCAUGCUGAAAGACCCAGCCACGUUUCAUCUUGCUGAUGGAAGUAGGUUUUCACUCAAAAUCUCACGAUACAUGGCCCCAUUCAUUCUUUCCUUUACACAGAUCAGUCGUCCUGGUCCCUUUGCAGAAAAACAGCCCCAAAGCAUGAUGUUUCCACCCCCAUGUUUCACAGUAGGUAUGGUGUUCUUUGGAUGCAACUCAGCAUUCUUUGUCCUCCAAACACGACGAGUUGAGUUUUUACCAAAAAGUUAUAUUUUGGUUUCAUCUGACCAUAUGACAUUCUCCCAAUCUUCUUCUGGAUCAUCCAAAUGCUCUCUAGCAAACUUCAGACGGGCCUGGACAUGUACUGGCUUAAGCAGGGGGACACGUCUGGCACUGCAGGAUUUGAGUCCCUGGCGGCGUAGUGUGUUACUGAUGAUAGGCUAUGUUACUUUGGUCCCAGCUCUCUGCAGAUCAUUCACUAGGUCCCCCCAUGUGGUUCUGGGAUUUUUGCUCACCGAUCUUGUGAUCAUUUUGACCCCACAGGGUGAGAUCUUGCGUGGAGCCCCAGAUCGAGGGAGAUUAUCAGUGGUCUUGUAUGUCUUCCAUUUCCUAAUAAUUGCUCCCACAGUUGAUUUCUUCAAACCAAGCUGCUUACCUAUUGCAGAUUCAGUCUUCCCGGCCUGGUGCAGGUCUACAAUUUUGUUUCUGGUGUCCUUUGACAUCUCUUUGGUCUUGGCCAUAGUGGAGUUUGGAGUGUGACUGUUUGAGGUUGUGGACAGGUGUCUUUUAUACUGAUAACAAGUUCAAACAGGUGGCAUUAAUACAGGUAACGAGUGGAGGACAGAGGAGCCUCUUAAAGAAGAAGUUACAGGUCUGUGAGAGUCAGAAAUCUUGCUUGUUUGUAGGUGACCAAAUACUUAUUUUCCACCAUAAUUUGCAAAUAAAUUCAUUAAAAAUCCUACAAUGUGAUUUUCUGGAUUUUUUCCCCUCAUUCUGUCUGUCAUAGUUGAAGUGUACCCAUGAUGAAAAUUACAGGCCUCUCUCAUCAUUUUAAGUGGGAGAACUUGCACAAUUGGUGGCUGACUAAAAACUGUUUUGCCCCACUGUACAUACAUUACCUGUUUGCUCAGUUGCUUUGUUAAGUUUGCGCUACUGUUUUGCAUGAACUAAGAUUUCCUUCUGGAACCAUAUAUCACACGUUUGUUGAAUUCUAUUUAUUUAUUUAUAUUGUAGAGAAAUUGUUUAUGGACAUACAUACAUUUUCCACGUAUUUAAAAAAAAAAAAAUAUAUAUAUAUAUAUAUAUAUAUAUAAAAAAAAACACAUUUUAGGCUGUUUUGUUAUUCCAUGUAGUAACACCAUUUUUUAUUUGCUUUUAUAAUCCGAGCAUAUACUUUUUUUUCAACCUGUGUACAGAUAAUGUUUGAAGAAUUAAGGUGUACGGCGGUUAGUUUUGAACUCCAAAGCUCUCGCUCAUCACUGUACCCUCUACAUGAGAGGGAGCUGGCCUUUCUUAGCUCUUUGGAGACAUAGUCAUUGGUACGUCUUCAUCGAUAAGGCCAUACUGAGACAGCUUCCCUUUUGCCUGUGUACCUACAUUGUCCAGCAGACAAAUGACACCUAUCAGCUCUGCUCAGAGGACUGUAUCUUGUUGACUGUGCCCGGACAGAGCUGGGUAAAAAAGCAUUCUAUUUCUCUGGCCCUUCCACUUGCUACAAGCUACAGAAGGACAGGAAAUUGCAGGAGCUCGUGUUUUUGAAUUAGUUUAAAGAUAAGGUCAAAUCUAUGGUGGACAAUAAAGUGGGUGGCUGUCAAUGUUUUGACUCCUAGAUGCAACACACCUCACCAAUUCAUUUAAAUUGUCGUGCUUUGUGUAUCAUGUUGUAAUUGUGUCUGAAGCAACUAUUUUGGCCAGGUCACUCUUGGAAAAUAGGUUUUUCAUCUCAAUGAGACUAACCUGGUGAAAUUAAACCAAAAUAAAUAAAUAAUGAAAUGGAAA